UGACAAUCAAACAGGACCCGACAUUAGAUCGAAGGAAAAGUUAGAAUUUUGGACCAGCUCGGGUUGGGUCUCGGGUAUUCGGGUUAGGGUGGACCCAUGAAGACCUCUAGGAGAUGGUGUUAUGGAAGGGGGACAAUGUGCUGGAUAAUGAGGUUGUCUUGACCAAGAUGAAGCUCUUCAACAACUUCCAUGAGAAGCUCCUCAACAACACUGAUGAUUCUUCAUCCACUAUCUCCAUGUCAGUAUCUGAGCAGGACAUCUCAGAGCCUGUCAAAGGCUUGAAGGGGAAUGCUGAUCUGGAUAACAUGCCUGGAAAGCCCCUGAUGGAGUCAAACUCAGGCUACCUCUCUGACAUUUUCUCAGACUCUCAGCUUCCCAUGCUGUACAAGUUUGAGUCGGAGGACUCUGGAGUGGAACUGCCCAGUGGAACCAACUCUCCCUCCACACCCACCGGCUCAGAGCAGAGCUUUGUGGUCCACAGCCGGGAACCCUCCUAUGACUCCUGUAACCUCAAUACUCCUGUCCCUACCCCAGGUCCACUCCUCACCAUUGAACAGUGCUCUGACACCAAACAAACAGAGGAUAUAAGAGACACACCAUGUACGACUGUAGACAAUGCUGUGCUGGAGUGUAAUACUGUGGAGUUGGGGGCUGAACUCAACACAGGGGUUGAGAGGGUAGACCUUCAUAUAACUGAGAAGGACAUACAUAUGGAGAGGGCCCAACACAGGGCCUUGAAGGACACUGCUGAGGACAGUGACAGGGUUUCAGAGGAGCUGGGUGAGAACAGGGCUGUGACUGACGGGAUCAACUCAGCGAACACAAGGUCCAAGAGCCAGUGCUCUACAGGGGCCUGUGAUGAUAUGACAGGAGUUAACUUUGAGCAGCGGCCUCUGAGGAAAAGCACGACGAGCGACAGCCUAGAGGAGUAUAUGGAGGAAUGCUGUCGACUGAGUGAGGUGCACCAGGCCAGCUCCAACCCCCUGGGCUCCGGACUGGGCUACCUGGAGCACAUCUGCCAGCUCAUUGAGAAGAUUGGGCAGCUCCAGGAACACAACCUAAGGCUGCAGAAGCAAAUCUGUGGGCUGCAAAAGGAUGGAAGGAUGACCAAGACCAAAGAGGACUUCUUCCUGCAGCACUGUAGCUGUGGAACGGCCGGCCUGGCCUUCCAUGAACAGAAAAGACACUCUAGGAGUGAGUUCCUGACCACCUCCGUGAGCGGCACACUCUCUGACCUCUCCACCAUCCCUGAGGUCACACACCACACAGGACUCACAGCCAGGGGAGAGAGUGACCAGGGUGGAUGCCAGCCCCUGGUGCCCCUUUGGAAGAGGGGCCUGAAUCGGAUGAGCUACACAGAGGGAGAUACGCGCUCCUAUCUAUCUGACAGUACAGAGGGUCUCUCUGCCCCACACAGACGGCUGAGUGAGAACUACACGUGGGGCAGAGUGAAGGAUCUGGUGAAGAAGACCAAGCUGAGGAACCAGAGCAGACUGGGACAAACAUCCACCUCCCUCAAGAGAUCCUGUCCACAGCUUUACCGCCCUGACCUGGGACCAGUGGACCUACCAGGAAGAAACAGGAACUCCAUGAUCGCCUUGGGCCAUCAGAACAAACUGGACUUCCAGUGGCCCAGAUAACCAUUGUUGAUAUGAAACAGACGGCCCGAAGUGGGAAGAGAAUGCCCGGAAGGUGAAGUUGCACAGAUUCUCGACUGGACUGAGAGAGUAGUGUGUAAGGAGGGAUGUGAGAAAUAACAUUUGUGAUGGAUGACAAAACUUUGAGUGAGGAGUGAAAAGAAAACAAAAAGAGGGAUGGUCAUAGACAUCUCUCUUGAGAUACAAUUCUAAACUAAGGGAUUGUAUUGUUUCAGAUAAGGGAACAUUGGUAUUUAUAUGAGAACAGACAUGCAUGUACUCCACAAUGAACAUGAAUACGAUACAAAUGAUUUAAUCUUGUACUAUAAAUUCAUAUUGUAAUGCUUUCUCUAAAUAUGUGUUAUGUUAGUGACAUUUCAGUACUAUGUGUUGAUGGAGAAAACAACAACUCUUUGACAUGGUUGUUCCAACUAAGAAAUAGCCUAGACAAUAUUCUGGGGUGAAAUUAAAGGGAUAGUUCACCCAAAUUACAAAAUGACAUUGGUUUCCUUACACUGUAAGCCGUCUAUGGACAAGCUAUGGCAGCAAUGCAUCCUUUGGUUUAGUUUCCCUGCCACUGUUUCAACAUGCUAGCAUUUUAGCAUUUGUGGCACAAAUCCCAUUCAAGUCACGGGACCGAUAUUAUUCGCGCAUCAUGCCCAAAUCAAUACAUGAUUUAAAUUCUAGAUAAGAGCGUUUGCUAAAUGACUAAAAUGAAAAUGUAAAUGUAAAAAUCAUUUGAAAGUAUCUAAAGUCGCUUGUCAAACUCAACAAAGUCACAUAGAUUAUUUGAACAUGAUGCUUGAAAAAUAUUAAUUUCGGUCCCAUGACAGGGUAAGGAAACCAAUAUGUAAUUUGGUGUUUGGGUGAACUAAUCGCUUUGGUUAUCAUGCCCCCUUGAACAAAUGUGAAACAUACACAUAUCAUACAUAUUUGAGGAUUGUACUUAACUAUUCAACACAUUUUGUAUGAAUUCUCUUCUUGUUUUGAGUGUAGGCCUAAGAGGCUGUGUGUGCAUGCACUAUACAGGGAUAAUAGAUCGUGGUGAUGUUGUGUGAAUGUGCUGUAUAUAACAAAAGGUAAUUGUGUACAGUCACCGUGUAUGUACAGGAGGGGAGUUAUGCCUCUGUAAAUUCCUAUGUUUAUAUGAUGGAAAUUUACUUUUUUUUUUACUUUUUGGAGAUAGGGGUUCCAGAUCCCUUAUGAUAAAAAAAAAACACUUUGAGGAUGCUAGAAAACGUUUGUGAUGCAUUGCCGCAAGGUUUUUUAAUGUUCCUCUCAAACAUUUAUGUAAAAAAAAAAAACAGCAAAGAAAAAAAACAAUUUCGCAUCACUGCAACAUGUACAGUAUUUUAUCAGAGGCUGCUGUUGCAUAUGUUCAUCUUCAAGGCAUUUUUUAUUUUAUUGUGACAUGCAAGUCUGGUUUGACAAGCUAACGGUGAUUUUAGCUUUUCUACAUCACGGUUACAUUCCCUGGUUUUCCAGAAAUCCUGGUUGGAAUAUUCCCGUAUUUCCUGCUUUUCCCUCGUAAUGCCAUGAAUCUUCCCAACAGGCUUCCUUGAAAAAUUGGGAAUUUUGGGAAAGCUACUGGAAUUUUGCAACCUUAGUUACGUCACUAUGAGCUUCCUUUGAUAACAGACAGGCAAGUGCCAUGGUACCUUGGAAAUCUCACUGGGUAAAACUACAGAAGGAAGGUUCAACACAGAAGCUUUGAAAAGGAUGAUUACAAUGGCUUCAAAGCCUGGACAUCUAAUUGAAAUACAGCAGAGGUCAAUUCCAAAUGCUCAAAACUGUCCAGUGUUGUUUACAACAGGAAUGGAGGUCAUCACAUUUUUAGAAAAUACUAAUCCCACAGAAAGAACAAAACAGUUAGUUAUCCAAGUAUGUACUUCAGCAAUGUGAACAACAGUAUAGUACAACACCAAUGAGUUAUUCAUCAUGGUCAACGUGUACUCCUAUUAAAAUAAUAAUGUACUCUGUAGUACUGUACACGUAGCACAGCUGUGGCUGUAUCAUACGGAAUUCAUGUACUUCUAAAUACUCUAAUCAAGUAGAAAAUACAUCUGUUGCAACUUGAGAGGCAGUAAAUGCUGUCAAUAUGCAUGAUAGGCCUACAUGUUUUGUCAGGACUGGGAUCUAAAGACUAAAGAUUGUUAUAUCUGUAUAUUGUAGAGUCACAGUAAGUUGUACAUGGAUGGAAUAUCUCAAUAUGUGUAAUGUAUCAUUAUUCAAAGUUAUUUUUCGAAAUAAAGUUGACAUUUUCAAUGACAUGAAA
ensembl:lncRNA